rnacentral:rRNA from 1 species
GCCGGUAAUACUGGGAUAACUUCGGGAAACCGGAGCUAAUACCGGAUAAUAUAAGGAACCUCCUGGUUCUUUAUUGAAAGAUGGUUUCGGCUAUCACUUACAGAUGGGCCCGCGGCGCAUUAGCUAGUUGGUGAGGUAAUGGCUCACCAAGGCGACGAUGCGUAGCCGACCUGAGAGGGUGAUCGGCCACACUGGGACUGAGACACGGCCCAGACUCCUACGGGAGGCAGCAGUGGUCAUA